CAACCUCAACUAAUGAACAAUAACCAAAUUUAAACUUAGUUUAAUAUUAAGGUAUAUCUAACGCUAUUAAAUAAAAUGGAGUUGGGAUAAAAACAUAAAAGGAUAUGCUUCUAUAUUCUCCGAUAGGACCGCAUAAAAUAUAUCGUAACCAACUCAUCGUGAUAUGAAAAAUACAAUAUUACGUACGGAAACAAACAGAAUAUUUUUCUAUUGUACUUUCUUUCCGCACAUAACGUAAUCUUGCUGCAAUCCCAAACGAUACCAUAUUAAAAUAAGCUUUUUUUAGUAACCUCUCUCUUUUAUGACUCAUUUUCUCUCCAUCUAUUUAUAUCUUGAAUCAAAU
rnacentral:lncRNA from 1 species